GACGAACGCUGGCGGCGUGCUUAACACAUGCAAGUCGAACGGUAAGGCCCUUCGGGGUACACGAGUGGCGAACGGGUGAGUAACACGUGGGUGAUCUGCCCUGCACUUCGGGAUAAGCCUGGGAAACUGGGUCUAAUACCGGAUAGGACCCUGGGAUGCAUGUCCUGGGGUGGAAAGCUUUUGCGGUGUGGGAUGGGCCCGCGGCCUAUCAACUUGUUGGUGGGGGGAUGGCCUACCAAGGCGACGACGGGUAGCCGGCCUGAGAGGGUGACCGGCCGCACUGGGACUGAGAUACGGCCCAGACUCCUACGGGAGGCAGCAGUGGGGAAUAUUGCACAAUGGGCGCAAGCCUGAUGCAGCGACGCCGCGUGAGGGAUGACGGCCUUCGGGUUGUAAACCUCUUUCAGCACCGACGAAGCGCAAGUGACGGUAGGUGCAGAAGAAGGACCGGCCAACUACGUGCCAGCCGCCGCGGUAA
rnacentral:rRNA from 1 species